rnacentral:rRNA from 1 species
AUUGAACGCUGGCGGCAUGCCUUACACAUGCAAGUCGAACGGUAACAGGUCUUCGGAUGCUGACGAGUGGCGAACGGGUGAGUAAUACAUCGGAACGUGCCUAGUAGUGGGGGAUAACUACUCGAAAGAGUGGCUAAUACCGCAUGAGAUCUACGGAUGAAAGCAGGGAAUCGCAAGACCUUGUGCUACUAGAGCGGCCGAUGGCAGAUUAGGUAGUUGGUGGGAUAAAAGCUUACCAAGCCGACGAUCUGUAGCUGGUCUGAGAGGACGAUCGGCCACACUGGGACUGAGACACGGCCCAGACUCCGACGGGAGGCAGCAGUGGGGAAUUUUGGACAAUGGGCGCAAGCCUGAUCCAGCAAUGCCGCGUGCAGGAUGAAGGCCUUCGGGUUGUAAACUGCUUUUGUACGGAACGAAAAGCCCCGGGUUAAUACCCUGGGGUCAUGACGGUACCGUAAGAAUAAGCACCGGCUAACUACGUGCCAGCCGCCGCCGUAA